GCCGGGCGUUGUGGCGGGCGCCUGUGGUCCCAGCUACUUGGGAGGCGGAGGCAGGAGACUCGCUUGAGCCCAGGAGUUGGAGGUUGCUGUGAGCUGUAAUGCCACGGCACUCUACCCAGGGCAACACAGUAAGACUCUGUCUCUU
rnacentral:SRP_RNA from 1 species